CAGGACAAACAACAUCAAAACACCACCUGUUCUCUAUCUAGCUACCAGAACAUCUGCCUGUUGUUCAUUGUUGCUUCUCCCUAAUACUCAUUCGUUGCCAUCAGACUAUUCUGAUGAGUUCUCAGAAACAAAGAAAUAUCCCUAUUCGCUACUGUUUGCUCUCUCUUUCCAAUACAUUAAAAGAGGUCUCAUAAAGCAAGGAAAAUUGAGGAGAAGCCUAGCUGGAAUCUAAGUGUCUUAUUAUUCAAGGACCAAGUAGCCAUAUUUGGAGAGGCUGAUAACAAGAUCAAUUGAAAAAAGAUGAAUUUUUCAACUGUGUCAACUUGUGAAGACCAUUUUUAAGACAGAAGUUGUGAAUUGUGUGUUCUUGUGGGAGGAGCCACAGGGGUUUUUCAGGAUGAAAUGCUACUUAGAAAAAGAACCAUAGAGGGGAGGCAAUCACACAGGACACUCGUUCUCAAACUUUUGUUCUAAAAUGAAAAUAGAAUAAAAAUAAUCUUAAACGAG